rnacentral:rRNA from 1 species
UACGUAGGGCGCAAGCGUUGUCCGGAAUUAUUGGGCGUAAAGAGCUCGUAGGCGGCUUGUCACGUCGAUUGUGAAAGCCCGAGGCUUAACCUCGGGUCUGCAGUCGAUACGGGCUAGCUGGAGUGUGGUAGGGGAGAUCGGAAUUCCUGGUGUAGCGGUGAAAUGCGCAGAUAUCAGGAGGAACACCGGUGGCGAAGGCGGAUCUCUGGGCCAUUACUGACGCUGAGGAGCGAAAGCGUGGGGAGCGAACAGG